rnacentral:lncRNA from 1 species
AAAAUUUAGAAAUACGGAGUUAAGGUUGAAUUCUAGAGAGAGAAAGUAAGAGUAAGAGAGAGAAAGAGAGGUUUAAGGGAGGUUUUUAGUUUAGGUCUACCAACUGGUUGUUAGAGAUUAUACUCCUUAACCAAACAUCGUCGUCAACAGCUCGUUUUCUAGAGAGAGAAACAUAUACUUUUAGAGAGAGAAACAUAUAGUUUUAGAGAGAGAAAGUGGUGAAAGAAAGAAGAAGGAAGAAAGGGAAAUCCAUCAAAGAAAAGAUCAGAUAAUAGCUCAGCAGCUUAAACACAUACACACACAGUGACACACAUAUGUGUAUAUGUAUAUAGAUAUAGAGAGAUAAAUUUUCUUGAAAGUGGAUUAUAGUUCUUUUUUUUUUUGGCUUUCUGCGACAUUUUUUCUGGGAUUUUCAUAUAGAUAAUCACAGAAAGACAAAAGAAAACCAUAUAUAUACAUACAUACAUAUAAGAAGAGAGAGAGUAUGUGGGGGGUUUUCACGUGGGAAUUGAUGGAAGAAUGGAAAGAUUUUAAAAGAAAGUUAUGAUUUUGAUGUAUCGAUUGAUUGAUGAGUGAUCAUAAAACACCAUCAUCAUCAUCUAUCAUCAUCAUCAUCAUCAUAAACAUCAAAACUCUCACCUUGUUUCAUUAAAAUCUCAGAACUGAAUUCAACCAGUUUUUUCUCUUUCUCUCUCUCUCUCUCUACCCUUCAAUGCUGAGUACUUGUGUUUUCUGAAUUCCGGGCAGUUCGGGCAGAGUCGUAUUAAUUGAUUGUGAUUCUGAAUUUGGAGACCCCAUGUGUACAUCUGGUCUUGGGAUCAUCAUCAUCAACAUCGGUGUACAUGAAUUCAUGGAAAUUGCAUCACAAAAUUGAAGCUUACUUGUUCCCCACAACCACACACCCAUGACUUAAUUUCAGGUAUUUUUUUCUUUUUUUAAAUUCAUAUAUUCCUAAUCUGUUGACUUUUUUUGCUUCCAAUAUCUAUCUCAUCAUCAAGAACACAUUUUUUUUUCUUAUAUGGGUUUUCUUGAUUAAUUUCCAUUAACCCUUUUUGAUCUUUAUUCUGUUGAUCAUAUUUUUCAAAGAUUCAUACAAUUGAGUGGAUUAUAUGGGUGUUUACUUGUUUUGUUCAUCUUGAAAUUGAUCAAAUAAAAAUGGGUUUGUUUCUUUAAUUAGUUUCCAUACAAAAUGUUAAUUUGAUGAUGAAUUGAGGGUAUUUUGGGAAUAUAUAUAUUGAAAAAGAGUUGUCUACAAAUUUACCUUGUUUGAUAGCAGCAAAACAAACAGGGAAUAUCUCUACUACUACGCGUAUCAUGUGAGGGUUGCGUACACAAACAAACAUCAAAGUACUUUCUUUGUGUUGCUUUUAUGCUUAUGUCCUUCUCCAACCAUUAAUACUCCCUCCAUCUUCUAUCUUCUCAUUUCAUUGUAUGUUUGUUUCAUAAAGAUUCAAUCUUUGUUACCAUUUUAAUGAUUUCACUUUGAUUUUCUGCUUUUUGAUGAGCCAUUAUAUUUCAUUUUUCAAUUUUCACCUUGCUAGAUUGAACUACUUGGUAAAAAAAACGUUGAAAAAAUAUACUAGUAGUUUUCUUUUGUCAAGGUUAAAUAAAUCAAUCCCUGUUACCAUUU